rnacentral:rRNA from 1 species
UACGAAGGGGGCUAGCGUUGUUCGGAAUCACUGGGCGUAAAGCGCACGCAGGCGGAUCGCUAAGUCAGGGGUGAAAUCCCGAGGCUCAACCUCGGAACUGCCUUUGAUACUGGCGAUCUUUGAGUCCGGGAGAGGUGAGUGGAACUCCGAGUGUAGAGGUGAAAUUCGUAGAUAUUCGGAAGAACACCAGUGGCGAAGGCGGCUCACUGGCCCGGUACUGACGCUCAUGUGCGAAAGCGUGGGGAGCAAACAGG